CCUAACCAUAACAGGUAGACCUUACUGGCUGCUACUGACUCUUAUCUCACCCCUAUUCUUUUCUUUUUACAUACUGUAGCUUCUUUCAAAGGCGUAAUGAACAAACUGUCAAGUGAAUUGUCUGAAACCUACUGUCUAUGCAAUAGAUCAAAGCAAACCACAAGCAUUUUGUGUCACGUACACACAGAUCUGGAUAAACUCAGUGGAUUGUAGGGAGAGGAUGUCGAAACUUGAAAACUAGAAUUCCUAUUUCGGGAACUGCUUCUGUACCACAAUCCUUUCUAGGCCAGUAACUGAGUAUCCAGCUAGAGAAGGUGAGUGAGGUAAAAUUCUAAAAUGCACACAGGAGGGGUUGGAAAUGAAACUGGUGUGAUUUUUUUGCAGGGGAAACGUCUUUGUUUAAGCCUGUGAAAAUAAAACAGAACAAAAAGCAUUUAAACCCUCCGCUUUUGCUUCCACGUUCAGAGGAAAACUGCCCCCACUUUGAUCACCCCUCUGGUAAGAGUGCUCACACAACAAGCCCUUUUUACUAUGGUGUGGCAGUUAUUUUUUUAAGCAGGUCUUCUUAAAAUGCAUUUAGCACUUCUGAGCCUAGAGCUGCGGGCAGCCAUCUUGCUAAAAAGAAUGUCACCUGUGACUGGCAUCCUGAGGGCCCUAUGAAAGAGACACUAAACCAGUCUCCAUACUGCUUCACCAGUCGGUUCUGACUGCUUAAACCAUUGCUACUCGGUGUUCAAGUGAGUUUAAAAACGGAUUUAGCCUCGCCUGCCUGCCUGCAGCUCUAGGCUCAGAAAGAACUGUAUUAAAAAGCCUUGAAAUGGGUGUUAUUUGCCGUGACAAGGAGUUCUUACCAUGUGAACGGAAUGAGUGCAGCUUUCCUUUAACAUUGGACACCCGUGGAAGUUCCAUUUGCGUGUCUGUUCUACUUCAGGUUCCAAUAAAACCUGAUAAUUUAGAGCAAUACUAUGGCUGUCUUUGCAUCGCUCUUAGGCCUAUUUUUUAUUCCUAUUCUGGGAUUAAACUCCACCACACUGCAUUAGAGUUUGCUUGUUGACUAAUUUCUAAUCCACAGGACUCUUGAUCGGGAGUAUUUUUCAUUCUCUGUUUACAGGGCUGGUAAAUUGCCCAGACACCUGAUAUCUACAGGGCAGUAAGAUGUGGUUUAUCUUCUUAUUUUCCCUGGAAGACUCUAUGGACAAAUGGAGAGAUGGUAGGAUUAUGAUAUCAAAAAUACCAAAGAAGUAAAAGGGGAAGUGAUAUUUAUUCAAGCGUCAAAAUCAAUUUAAUUCAAUGCCUGACAAGCAGUUGAAAGACAAGUUUUUUUUGUUGAAAAGAUUCCAUGCCCUGGACCUUCCAGUUGAGGGCUGAGAACUCCCAUUCCAGUUCUGUGUCCUCUAAAGAAACCUCCAGCAAAAAAGUGAACAAGGAAGAGAAGAUGCUUCUGACAUUAAACAAAUGAAUCAAACUCCUGUUAGACUGUAUUCAUUAUAAACCAACCAAAAAGGAUCGAUGUUUCAGUUUUUCCCUUUGCAGAUCACCUUUAAAGCAUCAGAUAAUCUUAAUUAAAUAAAUUAAUGUAGAUUUGAGGCCAAUAGCCUUUUGGUUACUGACUUAACACA